GACGAUUUUUCCUCAGCGGCUUAUGUACUUUCACGCAAGAAAAUAUCGGUCAAAAAUACGGACCACAGGAAAAACCCAGCCGCGUAGGUACUUUCACACAAGAAAAUAUCGGACAAAAAAUCGGACCACAGGAAAAACCCAG